rnacentral:rRNA from 1 species
AUUGGACGCUGGCGGCAUGCCUUACACAUGCAAGUCGAACGGUAACGGGCCUUCGGGUGCCGACGAGUGGCGAACGGGUGAGUAACGCAUCGGAACGUACCUUUCAGUGGGGGAUAACGUAGCGAAAGUUACGCUAAUACCGCAUAUUCUGUGAGCAGGAAAGCAGGGGAUCGCAAGCCCUUGCGCUGAUUGAGCGGCCGAUGUCAGAUUAGCUAGUUGGUGAGGUAAAGGCUCACCAAGGCGACGAUCUGUAGCGGGUCUGAGAGGAUGAUCCGCCACACUGGGACUGAGACACGGCCCAGACUCCUACGGGAGGCAGCAGUGGGGAAUUUUGGACAAUGGGGGCAACCCUGAUCCAGCCAUGCCGCGUGCGGGAAGAAGGCCUUCGGGUUGUAAACCGCUUUUGUCAGGGAAGAAAUCUUCUGGGCGAAUAACCUGGGAGGAUGACGGUACCUGAAGAAUAAGCACCGGCUAACUACGUGCCAGCCGCCGCCGUAAAAC